GGGUGCACCUUGGAAGCACGCUUACUGUGUAAGGUGAACAUGCUGCAAGAUAAGAACUGCUUCUCAAAAGGAGGGAUGCCUGUACAGCAAUACAGUAAAACCACCUCCCCAAAUGGCAUUGAGCCAUGGUUGACCUACUGAGGUCAACACAGACACUGUGCGACCUAUGUUGAUCCUAAAAGUCCUCCACCAGCUGUCCCACAAUGACUUGUUUCCUGUUCUGGUCACAAUUUUAAACUCUGGACUCCUGCCUGAAGUACUCAAAAGGUACUGGAUCUCUUGGCCUUUGGGGAGAAAAGGUUGUGCAGACACAGCUAUGGACCAGCUGUAGAAACAUGGACAUCUGUGAAAAGAUUGCACAGGGGAUGCAAGCGAAGGGGUAUGGCAGGGAUCAGCAGUGGUGCCGCAUUAAAGCAAAGAAACUGUGGCAGACAUACGAUGAGGCCAACAAUGGAUCUGGUGCUGAGUCGUAGACCUGCCGCUUUUACAACGAGAUUCAUACCAUACGUGGUGGAGACCCCACCAGCCUGUGCAGUCCACUGUGGAUACCUUGAAGGAGCCUCAGAAAGAGACCUUAGCUGCUGCUAUUAAGCCCUUGAGGGUGCCCUCUCCAUGCCUACAGAAUGCCUGACCCUGAGAAGGAGAAAAAAGAGGACUCGAUGUGACAUGUUCAGAGAGAUCCUGCAAGCCAGUGCUGCAUCGGACGAUGAACAAAGGGCCUGGAGGAUCAAUAUGGCAGACAGCAUGGAGAAGGAAAGAGCAGACAGGAGAGAGGCCAAAGAGACCCAACAGGAAACAGAGAGGGAGGUGCACCAGGAUAUUGGCUUCUCAGGUAGCAAAGACAAAUGCUGCAGAUGCUCGUUGACCCACCAUUCUUCUCAGUCACUGGAAAACUCCUGUGUAACAGCUCCCUAUACUCCCCAACAUUCUACGUGUCAUCAUGGGCCACAUCCCUACCCCUACCACUUCAUGCCAGAGGACUGCAAGGAAAACCACACCUUCACAUAUGCCAACCUGUG